rnacentral:lncRNA from 1 species
CAGAGGGUCAGGACGGGUUCCAGGACCUCUUGAAUCGCAUCUGAAACUUGUUCCCUGUGCUCCUUUCUCCUCCCUGUUCUUACAACUGGCCAACUGGGAUUACACAACGCGCACUAAUUUUAUUCUGCAUGUGGCUGUUUCUUAUUAGGAGCCUGUACCUUAUUUUUUCCUGUGCCAUGUCAGCCCUCCCGAUUCAGGUUCCGGCUCAGUCACGUCUGCCAAUGGUUAGAUUCUCGUGGCAGGGAAAUGCUCACUUCUGUUGUGCAACCAUCGGACCC